rnacentral:rRNA from 1 species
AAAAGCCUGGUCCUGACUUUAACGUCAGUUGAAACCCAACUUACACAUGCAAGUACCCGCACCCCUGUGAGAAUGCCCUUUCCGCCCGGCAGGAAAAAAGGAGCAGGCAUCAGGCACACAUUUGUAGCCCAAAACGCCUUGCUUAGCCACACCCCCAAGGGAAUGCAGCAGUGACAAACAUUAAGCCAUGAGCGAAAGCUUGACUUAGUUAGGGUUAACAGGGCCGGUAAAACUCGUGCCAGCAACCGCGGUUACACGAGAGGCCCGAAUUGACACAUCACGGCGUAAAGUGUGAUUAGAGAUAAACUAGACUAGAGCCAAACACCCCUUAUGCUGUCAUACGCCAUGGGGGUCACGAAGACCGACGACGAAAGUGGUUCUAAUAACCUAAUCUUGAACUCACGACAGCCAAGGUACAAACUGGGAUUAGAUACCCCACUAUGCUUGGCCUUAAACUAAGGCGACAAACCUACAAACUUCGCCCGCCAGGGAACUACGAGCCCUAGCUUAAAACCCAAGGGACUUGGCGGUGCCUCAAACCCACCUAGAGGAGCCUGUCCUAUAACCGAUGAUCCCCGUUUAACCUCACCUCUCCUUGCCAAUCCCGCCUAUAUACCGCCGUCGCCAGUUUACCUUUUGAAAGAACAGCAGUAAGCAAAACGGGUACUACCCAAUACGUCAGGUCGAGGUGUAGCGAAUGGAGGGGGAAGAGAUGGGCUACAUUUUCUGGUAACAGAACACUACGAAGAGCACAAUGAAAUUUGUGCAGCCGAAGGUGGAUUUAGCAGUAAAAAGAAAAAAGAGAGUUCUU